CUAAACACAGCAGGAGGUUGUGAAGCCUGCGUUCUCACAGUGGAUCAUGUGACCAGUGAUGUCACAGACCUCCUUCUUACAAAUCCAUUCUAGCAUCUACCCAGCAUGUAUAGCAGGACUCUGCUGAGCAAAUACCAUGUGCCCAGUUAACAUCAAGGUAAAUUGACCUGAAAGUGAUAAAGUGGCUGGAUAAGAAACUCAAGGAUGUCUACUCUUAAUGGCAAUGCAAAAGAAUACAUAGGAGAUAAAUAAUGCACACCGGCUUAAAACCUGAACUACUGGAGCUUAUUCUUCACGUGGAAGUGAGAAAUGGAGGAAUCAGAAAGUGGCUGCAAGAAAAUCUAUUUGCUGGUUAUUUCAUUUUCUAUCAAGUAAAUCCACAGUACAAAUGUAUUUUGCCUAUUUAGUCAAAACUCUAGGAAAUAUUUGAUGUUACAUAAAUUAUAGUAAUAAAUAGUUCUGCCU